GUGUCAGCCGCCGCGGUAAUACGUAGGUGGCAAGCGUUGUCCGGAAUCACUGGGCGUAAAGCGCGCGCAGGCGGCCGUUUAAGUCUGGGGUGAAAGCCCGGAGCUCAACUCCGGGACUGCCUUGGAUACUGGAUGGCUUGAGCAUUGGAGAGGUAAGGGGAAUUCCACGUGUAGCGGUGAAAUGCGUAGAUAUGUGGAGGAACACCAGUGGCGAAGGCGCCUUACUGGCCAAUUGCUGACGCUGAGGCGCGAAAGCGUGGGGAGCAAACAGGAUUAGAAACCCUGGUAGUCC
rnacentral:rRNA from 1 species